AUCAGGUCGUAGUGGACUAAUUUUACAGGCGAAGUUAAGUGACUUACCCAAAACCUCACAGCUAAUAAACGGCAGAGCCGGCACCCAGCUGUACUGGCUUCCAGCGCAUCCCAUUAUCUCCAUAAAUCCCCCUGAUUCAACUAAUAUUAGACGCCCCACAGCUGGACCCUGGACACGGUGACUCUGAUUCAAUUAUGCAGAUGACCACAAGCCUCUGGGGUUGGCAGAGCCACAAGAAAGAAGGUGCCUGGAUGAAGGAGAGCUACCCACUGACCUGGACACCCAAUUAUAGGAUAGACAGUGAAGUGCAACUACAGCCCGCAAAUGAAAAUGAAUAAAAUUAAUCCAGCCCCUCAAGGCAGUCAUCUGUCUUAGAGCUAUUGGAAUCCUGGAUCAUUGUGGGAAAUGAAAAGAACUGGUUUUUAGCAAGGAGACCAAGAAACUCUACUCCCUAGGGGCUAGCAAUGAGAGAAAGGAAGCCUUGAGUCUUUGAGCACAGGGUGACAGUUUGGGUCCUAUGUGAGAUGAUCAAAUCCACAGCAACAGAGGAAAGGACAAAAGGAAAAGAUACUUCGAUGGAAUCAGCAGCCAUUGAUCCAAUGCCAACUCCAAGACUGGAACGUCGCAAUGAUAGUUCCAAGGCGGAAAUUUGACGUAAUUCUUUUCGACACAGUUUUACAGGUGUGACACCAUGAAGUCGUCCCACAUUUCCCACAACCUGAAUUUGGGAUGACAGUCGACUGAGAUUUUGUAAACUGAUUAUCAUCUGUUUCUGUUUUAUUCUCAUUACCUAACAUAUGCCCACUGGGGGGUGCUAAAGAACUAUGAAUUGGAGGUAAUUCUGGGAUAUCUUCCCAGAGCUUUUGAGGAUUUGGCUGUGUUCUUAAGCUGCUUGCUGAACUGUCCAUUUCUCUUUCUCUUCCACUUAAUUUCAUACUUUCAGGUCUGGAUGCCCAUUUUAAUUCUUCUGAAAGCAUGCCUCCUUCUGGCUUCAGGACUCCAUCUCCAGCCUUAUGAUCUAAAAAUAAUCCCCAAACCAAAAAAUUAGAUAUUAUUUCCUCAAAAUUAGGUGUUUUAAUCAAAACAUCUUAACAUAAAUACAUUAUUAUCACCCAA
ensembl:lncRNA novel transcript